rnacentral:tRNA from 4 species
AGAGAGGUGGCCGAGUGGUCGAAGGCGCACGCCUGGAAAGUGUGUAUACGGCAACGUAUCGAGGGUUCGAAUCCCUUCCUCUCUGC